rnacentral:tRNA from 1 species
GGUUCGAAUCCUUCCGUCCCAG